rnacentral:rRNA from 1 species
CUUCAUGUGUUGUUUUGAAGUCGUGCCUGCCCACUGAUUAUUUAAAGGGCCGCGGUAUCUUGACCGUGCAAAGGUAGCAUAAUCAUUAGUUUCUUAAUUGGGGACUGGUAUGAAUGGUAUGACGAGGUGAUUACUGUCUCUUUAAUAUUUAAUGAAUUUCACUUUUAAGUUAAAAGGCUUAAAUGAUGAUGGGGGACGAGAAGACCCUAUAGAUCUUUAUUAUCUGUUUGAAUAUGUAGUUUAGUAAGGGUGAAUUGUUUAAUUAUGGUGGUUGCAUUGGGGUGAUGGGAGAAUUAUAAACUUCUUUUAGUUAUUAAUUUUGAUUAGAAGGUUUUUGAUCCUUUAAUAUGGAUUUAAGAUUAAGAUACCUUAGGGAUAACAGCGUUAUUUUAUUUGAGAGUUCUUAUUGACAAUAAAGAUUGCGACCUCGAUGUUGGAUUAGGAUUUACAUUUUGGGGAAGUUUCUGGAUGUGUUGGUCUGUUC